rnacentral:rRNA from 1 species
GACGAACGCUGGCGGCGUGCCUAAUACAUGCAAGUUGAGCGCUGAAGGUUGGUACUUGUACCGACUGGAUGAGCAGCGAACGGGCGAGUAACGCGUGGGGAAUCUGCCUUUGAGCGGGGGACAACAUUUGGAAACGAAUGCUAAUACCGCAUAAAAACUUUAAACACAAGUUUUAAGUUUGAAAGAUGCAAUUGCAUCACUCAAAGAUGAUCCCGCGUUGUAUUAGCUAGUUGGUGAGGUAAAGGCUCACCAAGGCGAUGAUACAUAGCCGACCUGAGAGGGUGAGCGGCCAGAUUGGGACUGAGACACGGCCCAAACUGCUACGGGAGGCAGCAGUAGGGAAUCUUCGGCCAUGGACGAAAGUCUGACCGAGCAACGCCGCGUGAGUGAAGAAGGUUUUCGGAUCGGAAAACUCUGUUGGUAGAGAAGAACGUUGGUGAGAGUGGAAAGCUCAUCAAGUGACGGUAACUACCCAGAAAGGGACGGCUAACUACGUG